AGCGAACGCUGGCGGCAGGCCUAACACAUGCAAGUCGAACGAACUCUUCGGAGUUAGUGGCGGACGGGUGAGUAACACGUGGGAACGUGCCUUUAGGUUCGGAAUAACUCAGGGAAACUUGUGCUAAUACCGAAUGUGCCCUUCGGGGGAAAGAUUUAUCGCCUUUAGAGCGGCCCGCGUCUGAUUAACUAGUUGGUGAGGUAAAGGCCCACCAAGGCUACGAUCAGUAGCUGGUCUGAGAGGAUGAUCAGCAACAUUGGGGCUGGGACACGGCCAAAACUCCUGCGGAGGGGAGCAGGGGGGAACCUGCCGCAAGGGGCGAAAGCAGAAGGCAGCCAGGCCGUGGAAAUGUUGAGGGUCUAAGGAUUAUAAAAUUCUUUACCCGGGGCUGUUAAGACGGUUCCCCGGGGAAGAACCCCCGGUAACUUCGUG
rnacentral:rRNA from 1 species